GCCCCCGUAGCUCAGUGGAUAGAGUGUCGGCCUCCGGAGCCGAAGACCGCGGUUCGAGUCCGCGCGGGGGUA
rfam:Chloroflexi bacterium 13_1_40CM_4_68_4 13_1_40cm_4_scaffold_17910, whole genome shotgun sequence.